rnacentral:rRNA from 1 species
AGAGUUUGAUCAUGGCUCAGAUUGAACGCUGGCGGCAUGCCUUACACAUGCAAGUCGAACGGUAACAGGUCUUCGGAUGCUGACGAGUGGCGAACGGGUGAGUAAUACAUCGGAACGUGCCCGAUCGUGGGGGAUAACGAGGCGAAAGCUUUGCUAAUACCGCAUACGAUCUACGGAUGAAAGCGGGGGAUCUUCGGACCUCGCGCGGACGGAGCGGCCGAUGGCAGAUUAGGUAGUUGGUGGGAUAAAAGCUUACCAAGCCGACGAUCUGUAGC